AGCGAACGCUGGCGGCAGGCCUAACACAUGCAAGUCGAGCGGGCGUAGCAAUACGUCAGCGGCAGACGGGUGAGUAACGCGUGGGAACGUACCUUUUGGUUCGGAACAACACAGGGAAACUUGUGCUAAUACCGGAUAAGCCCUUACGGGGAAAGAUUUAUCGCCGAAAGAUCGGCCCGCGUCUGAUUAGCUAGUUGGUGUGGUAACGGCGCACCAAGGCGACGAUCAGUAGCUGGCUGAGAGGAUGAUCAGCCACAUUGGGACUGAGAAACGGCCCAGACUCCUACGGGAGGCAGCAGUGGGAAUCUUGCGCAAUGGCCUAACGGCUGACGCAGCGACGCCGCGUGAGGGAUGAAGCUCCUCGGAGUGUAAACCUCUGUUGCCCGGGAACGAAUAGCGGAUUUUCCGACUUGACGGUACCGGGUGAGGAAGCACCGGCUAACUCCGUGCCAGCCGCCGCGGUAAG
rnacentral:rRNA from 1 species